rnacentral:tRNA from 1 species
GACAACGUGGCCGAGCGGUUAAGGCGAUUGACUAGAAUCCGCUUCUAAGACUCCUACUGUCUACCAUCAAUUGGGAUUUUCCCGCGUAGGUUCAAAUCCUGCCGUUGUCG